CAAUGGGCGAAAGCCUGACCCAGCAACGCCGCGUGAAGGAUGAAGUAUUUCGGAAUGUAAACUUCGAAAGAAUGGGAAGAAUAAAUGACGGUACCAUUUAUAAGGUCCGGCUAACUACGUGCCAGCAGCCGCGGUAAUACGUAGGGACCAAGCGUUGUUCGGAUUUACUGGGCGUAAAGGGCGCGUAGGCGGCGUGGUAAGUCACUUGUGAAAUCUCCGAGCUUAACUCGGAACGGCCAAGUGAUACUGCUGCGCUAGAGUGCAGAAGGGGCAAUCGGAAUUCUUGGUGUAGCGGUGAAAUGCGUAGAUAUCAAGAGGAACACCUGAGGUGAAGACGGGUUGCUGGGCUGACACUGACGCUGAGGCGCGAAAGCCAGGGGAGCAAACGGGAUUAGAUACCCCGGUAGUCCUGGCCCUAAACGAUGAAUACUUGGUGUCUGGAGUUAUUAUUGCUCCGGGUGCCGUCGCUAACGUUUUAAGUAUUCCGCCUGGGGAGUACGUGCGCAAGCAUG
rnacentral:rRNA from 1 species